rnacentral:rRNA from 1 species
UCGCAGUCUGCAACUCGACUGCGUGAAGGUGGAGUCGCUAGUAAUCGCGGAUCAGCAACGCCGCGGUGAAUGCGUUCCCGGGCCUUGUACACACCGCCCGUCAAGUCAUGAAAGUGGGCAGCACCCGAAGACGGUGGCCUAACCCUUGUGGGGGGAGCCGUCUAAGGUGAGGCUCGUGAUUGGGACUAAGUCGUAACAAGGUAGC